UACAGAGGGUGCAAGCGUUGUUCGGAAUUAUUGGGCGUAAAGGGCGCGUAGGCGGUGCGGUAAGUCACCUGUGAAAUCUCCUGGCUUAACUGGGAGCCUGCAGGCGAAACUACCGUGCUGGAGUGUGGGAGAGGUGCGUGGAAUUCCUGGUGUAGCGGUGAAAUGCGCAGAUAUCAGGAAGAACACCCGUGGCGAAGGCGGCUCUCUGGGACGGUACUGACGCUGAGACGCGAAAGCGUGGGGAGCGAACAGG
rnacentral:rRNA from 1 species